rnacentral:lncRNA from 1 species
GGCUACGGAGAACCGCGCAUGGCGAACGUAGAAUAAUGUCCAAAGUUUCGGUGUAGUAAUAAUCGAUAUAGGGUCAUUUUAAACCCGUGAAAAUAGCCGAAAAGUGCAAAAAGUGUGGAUUAAGUAAAACUCGGAAUUAUGAACUAUAAUUCGCGAAUUUUAAUCGUGUGAAACUAAAGAAAAGAACGGAUCUUCACCGAGCGACUUCGCGUCCUAAGAGUGAAACGGAACCGGUGUGCGGUGUCAAUAACAUUCGUAAAAAUAAAAAGAGUGGGGAUUCGGUGAAUUAUUAUUGGCUCUUAUCGGUUACUGUUGUAGGACAGUUUCGUAGUUUUAUUACAGUGCAACAGAAACAGCUGACUGUCGAUUAAAUUUCAAUUAUAUCGCCAUUUUUUUCUUUCCAAAAAGAUCUUUUCGAAGUGUCUAUUUCAGAUGUUGCAUUACCGGUUAUCCAUUAAAGAAGAAAAUGCAGCUGGGAUUUUAAGACUGACGAUUAAAAAUUGUAAAUUUGAUAUGAAGUCUUAGCUGUUCUUCUUUUCUUUUAAAAAAAAAAAGAAAAAAAAAACGUACUGCAGUUUUGCCACCUCUUAAAAUUCCUGCCGCCGAAGACGAAGGUGCGGAACCGGAGGACCUUGACCAGCGAAUCUCUUCGGAUCACUAGAAUUGCCGACGAUUCGAUUGAUAUGAAGAGGGAAACUUAGCCAAUCAGGACCCCCCACCCGAGUGGCACGUUUCUCAGCCGAUGCAGCAGCAGCAGCAGCGAGCAAGCAAGCAAGCGAGCAAGCAACUUGUAG